AUUGAACGCUGGCGGCAGGCCUAAUACAUGCAAGUCGACCUUAGUGGCGCACGGUUUAGUAACACGUGGGUAACCUGCCCAUCAGAAGGGGAUAACACUUGGAAACAGGUGCUAAUACCGUAUACUGAUGGAUGGACCCGCGGUGCAUUAGCUAGUUGGUGAGGUAACGGCUCACCAAGGCCACGAUGCAUAGCCGACCGGAGAGGGUGAUCGGCCAGAUUGGUACUGAGACACGGCCCCGAAUCCUACGGGAGGCAGCAGUGGGGAAUGUUCGGCAAUGGACGAAAGUCUGACCGAGCAACGCCGCGUGAGUGAAGAAGGUUUUAGGAUCGUAAACCUCUGUUGUUAGAGAAGCGGUAUCUAACCAGAAAGCCACGGCUAACUACGUGCCAGCAGCCGCGGUAAUAC
rnacentral:rRNA from 1 species